UACUGAUAUAAAAUAUGGCACACAUUAUUUCAAUUACGAGUAUAUUUAUUGCAAUGAAUUAUGUAAUUUAAGUAAUUGAACGUUCAUGUAAUAACUCUUAAUAUCUAUAUAUUUUCAAAAUGUCAACCGAUUUCGGAGCGAAUUCCAGAUUUCUCAUUUCAGGAAAUUACUAUUCAUAAGGUAAUUAUCAUUUCGGUAAUUUGUAAUCAUGUGAAAUUUUCUAGAAAUAGUCAUAUAUUAAAUGAACAUUUUUGGUUUAUCCAUAAUGAUGGAAUUCAGUCUAGAAUAUUUUUGAUCCAUAAAAAAGAAAGAAAUGUACUAUUUGCCAUAAUACAAAUUAUUUUUUCUUCAUUUUGUUUCUUUAUUUAUACUGAGAAAUCGUUAGAAAUACCGUAAGAGGAAAUUGUACAUGUAUUGUUGCCAACUAAAGCGUAACACACUCAGAAUAAAUCCGAAUUUAAAUACGAGAUAUCGUGCACACUUCUUCAGUAUUGUCGAAUUACCGUCGUGACUAACAGUCAGUAGUACUUAAAAUGCCCAUCCUCCGCCACACCCCUGUAGCAAGUUUUUCUUUCAUCGUUCAUGUUUCAUGCCUUGAUGUUAUAGCAUUUAAAUUAGUUAUUCACUUAACAAUGAAUAUAUCUUGUUUCUACUGGUGUAUUGUACAGUAAACUGUUGUUUGUGUCAUAUGUUUUUUGUGUCACAGUGCCAGACUUAUUUUAUUUAGUACAUUUUGCAGGAAUACUGAAGAAAACAUAAAGAGUCUCCCAAUGCAUUUGACUAACCAGUUUAAGACCAUGCACCAUGUGAUUCUCAAGUUGAAGUGUUAACGUGCAAGAAUGGUGAUUGUGAACAAAUGGAUAUUAUAUACUGAAUCAUCUUGUGCAAAUAAUGGAACAGUGUGUUAUGACAAUGGUGUGACAAUGGCGUAAAGUUUACUACGUCGGAUAAUUGUGUAAUAAAUCAAUGGUGUUACAUAUAUUUGAAUGUUUAUAUACAAAAGUAUCAUUGUGAGACUCGGUUAUGUGUGGUUAUUAUCUGAAUUUAAAGUGAUUCUAAUAUUCUAAGUCGACCGAGCUGGCUUCGAACAGACGUAGUUUUCAUUGCCAAACCUCAUCUUUAAUGGUUUGGGAAACUAAAUUUUGUAAAUAGUCGGCUAUGUUUUGGUUUGUGACAGCCCUCUAAAUGUUCACAUCUUUCAGAUAUAAUGUUGCUUUGGUUAGUCCCUGUGGAAGAAUGUUGGUAUACUGUGUUAUGUUGAUGGCCGUGAUAAGUUAUAGUAGACUCGGCCUAGGUUCGGGUAACUAGGUCUCGCCCUUUGUGUUCUGGUAAGACCUAGUUUUGUAAUUGGGCACCAGUUAAAGUCAUCAUACAGGAUCCGAUUUUAAGGCUGAUUAUUCGGUUGUUGAUCUUUGCUCCCACUGAGAGUUUCUUGGUCGGAGAGUAUUAAAGCUCACCCUUCCGGAUACUUAGGUCUUGGUCAGAGCCUCAUUGGAGCACCAUCCCUAGACAUGGGCGGCCAUAACAAGCCAACUUGAUAUACAUUUUUUUUCUUAGAUGACUUAGUCAUCUGGUAAUGACGUAUGUUUGUGACGUCAUAACUGUAUAUUGAUUGUACUGUCAACAUAAUUGCUAUUCUAUUGUGUUUGCUUAUUCUGUGUUAAUGCAAUUAAGUGAAAGACACUGCAGGUUUUAGGCUAUUAUUUUUAUAAUUUAUUUAUAGUUUAAUGAUAAUUCAAAUAAUUUCCGCGAAUUUUGAUUGGCUUAAACAUUUUGUAUACGAUGCCGUAUAAACCUCGAAGAACCGAAACACGCAGCAAUGUGUUUCUACAUCAUAGACAGCCACCUAUGUGUGUGUGCAUUUAAUUUUCCAUUUGGUUCCUUUCGUGAUGGCAUAUUUCUGGAUUUUAAUUACAUUACUUCAAAGGAAUAGUUAACGGUACAGCGCUAUGAGGAAAGAACACAAAAAUAUUUUUAGUAAUACGUAUAUCAGAAUAAAGUAAAAAAGACACGAAGAAUGUAACAUGUAUUAAUAUACAUGUAACUCUCGGCUUAGCGCCGCGGGUCAUAAUUAUCUCAUUCAGUCUAUGUUCUCCCGUUUACCUCGUCAGCAACAUAAAUAACUAAUAAUAUAUAACCAUUUACAUCCCUCUUAUUAACGCCUAAAAUUACAAUGCUGUUAUGUUAGGCUAAUAACUUAUUAUAAUAAUUGUUUCUAAUCGUUAUGUUGGUAAUAUGUUAUGCAGGAACUUGAUGGUUAUUUAUUUAGAUUUAAGUAUAUAUUACUUGAAAUAAAUCAUAUCAACACCUCUUGUGGAAGUCUGUGUUUAUCCUGUUGAAACGAAAUAAAAAGGAACGGCCAACACUUACUCAAUAUGGAUUCAAAAUACCGGUUCGCCUUGAUUUAUGUUGUCCUCGUUUUCAUAACAUUCACUGCAGUAAGAGGACAAUUCUGUAAGGUAGACAGAGGACGGUGUAAAGACACAAAUAUAAUACCGGGAAAGGGAGGGCGCUGUGCACGUAUAAAAAGUGGUUUUUGUGGUGUGAUUGGUGCUGGCAACUGUAGAUGCUGGACUGGGCAAGCUCAGGGAUGGACAAAAUUGAUUAACGGAUAAGUUUGAACGAGUGCAAAUUAUACAACCAACCGAACAAACAAACAACAGUGUAAAUUUGAAUAUAUUUACUGGCAAAUGUAGAACAUUUUGAUUAUAGUCGAUUGCGUGUAACUUGAACAAAUUUAUAAUGAUGGUGAAGUACAUUCAAAUAAUUUAACAUCUGAUUUUCAAAAUCAGUCGUAUAUAUGUGCAAACUGUAAAUGUGUAUAGUUUCAAUAAAUUUUAUUUAU